CUAUGAUGUUGAGCAGCAAACCAUUAUUUCUGGGUUCCUUGACUACCUAUGACAGGAAUUUGUCAUCAGUGCUUUCAGGAACCUCCUGGACUAUUAGUAUUUUGCUGUUUUGCUUCUCCAGCAGAUGUCAGGGUAGUUAAAGUCCCUAACCAGAACUGGUUCCUGUCACUUUGAGGCUGCUUCAAGCCGCCUCCAGAAGGCCUCAUCCACUUCCUCCUCCUGAUCAGUCACAGCAGUGUCACCAUGACAACAACACAGGGCACAGCAGGGUACCACACUGAGCUCAGCAUCUACUUGAUUAAAACUUCACCAUCUGGAAAGAUCUUCCUCUAAGGAAGAGGGUGUUUCUCUCCCAGCUCUUCUAGAGGAGUAGCUGCUGCUGCUGGCACCCUGUGACCUGCACAACCAGUGUUUGACCCCAUAGCCUGAGAUGACUUCAUAAUUUGAGAUCAUAGGAAAAGGAUUCUUCAGGAAUGUCACACUAGCUCUGAGCCUGAGGAUUUUCACCAAGAUCCCCAGUAAAAUACCGGUAAUGUAAAGUUGCAGGAGAGGAAAUCUGCAGCUGAAUUCACAGAGAUGACUUAGAAAAUUAAUUAA